AGUCGAGGGGUAUAUGUCUUCGGAUAUAGAGACCGGCGCACGGGUGCGUAACGCGUAUGCAAUCUACCUUUUACAGAGGGAUAGCCCAGAGAAAUUUGGAUUAAUACCUCAUAGUAUAGCUCUACCGCAUGGUAGUACUAUUAAAGUCACAACGGUAAAAGAUGAGCAUGCGUCCCAUUAGCUAGUUGGUAAGGUAACGGCUUACCAAGGCAACGAUGGGUAGGGGUCCUGAGAGGGAGAUCCCCCACACUGGUACUGAGACACGGACCAGACUCCUACGGGAGGCAGCAGUGAGGAAUAUUGGACAAUGGGCGCAAGCCUGAUCCAGCCAUGCCGCGUGCAGGAUGACGGUCCUAUGGAUUGUAAACUGCUUUUGUACGAGAAGAAACACUGCUUCGUGAAGCAGCUUGACGGUAUCGUAAGAAUAAGGAUCGGCUAACUCCGUGCCAGCAGCCGCGGUAAUACGGAGGAUCCAAGCGUUAUCCGGAAUCAUUGGGUUUAAAGGGUCCGUAGGCGGUUUAGUAAGUCAGUGGUGAAAGCCCAUCGCUCAACGGUGGAACGGCCAUUGAUACUGCUGAACUUGAAUUAUUAGGAAGUAACUAGAAUAUGUAGUGUAGCGGUGAAAUGCUUAGAGAUUACAUGGAAUACCAAUUGCGAAGGGCAGGUUACUACUAAUUGAUUGACGCUGAUGG
rnacentral:rRNA from 1 species